GGCCCACCUCGGAACUGUCCUGAGUGCUGAAAUGGUGCCUGGUUGCAGCUGACAUUCCUGUUCCUUCACUUAAGUGCUCUGCCGGAGCACUAGGUGUGGCAGAAUUGAUGCCCUAUAACUUCUGAGUGUAGGUCAUAAAAGGCAAUGUGGCUCCCCCAGCUCUCUCCCUCUGUCAAGAUGCUUUUCCUUGGAAUCCAGCUGCCAUGUUGUGAGAAAGCCCAGGGCACCGCAGAGACCACAUGUGGGUGUUCCAGCCAACAGCCCCAGCUAGGUCCCCAUGGAGAGCCCACACCAACCACCAGAUAUGAGGGUUCAGACUCCAGCCCACAGUCUUCAAGUCUUCCAGCUGCAGUCCCAGACAUCAUGAAACCAUUCUGCUGUGACCUGUCAGAAUUUCUGACCCCAGAAACUGUUGGAGA
rnacentral:lncRNA from 1 species